GGGUCAGUAGCUCAGUUGGUAGAGCAGUUGCCUCUUAAGCAAUUGGUCGUGGGUUCAAGUCCCACCUGACCCACCA
rnacentral:tRNA from 1 species